rnacentral:tRNA from 1 species
GUGGGAGUAGCUCAGUUGGUUAGAGCACGUGGUUGUGGUCCACGGGGUCGGGGGUUCGAAUCCCCUCUCUCACC